AACAAUAUGCAUCUAUUUUUUAGUAGCUUAUCUCAUCAGAACUCCACAGUUAAGUGUGUUUGACUUGAAGUAAUAUAGGGAUGGGUGACCUUUUAGAAAGUUUUACAGAAAUUGUGC
rnacentral:rRNA from 1 species